rnacentral:rRNA from 1 species
CGGGACGGGUGAGUAAUGUCUGGGAAACGUGCCUGAUGGAGGGGGAUAACUACUGGAAACGGUAGCUAAUACCGCAUAACGUCGCAAGACCAAGAGGGGACCGUUCGGGCCUCUUGCCAUCGGAUGUGCCCAGAUGGGAUUAGCUAGUAGGUGGGGUAACGGCUCACCUAGGCGACGAUCCCUAGCUGGUCUGAGAGGAUGACCAGCCACACUGGAACUGAGACACGGUCCAG